UUGGCAACUAUGUCGUCAUGCACAAGUUCGUUCAAGACCUUCACUUUUUUGUUUCUGGAGGUGAAGAUGAAAAUGAGAUCAUCUUGGCCACAGUACUCCAGGGUUUUUUUUGAUGCAGUUGGAUUUCUCCUUAGAGGCAAUGAGGACAAGAAGGAAGGCAUUGGAGAACUUGGAUCUUAUUCUGUUGUGCCUUGAUGAGAUUGUCGAUGACCAUGUAUGCAUAUAAGAGAAGGCCCUGUAGUAAUAAUUACAAGGUUUUAAGCCCACAUCGCGCCUCAAUUGCUCCUCGACUGAGCCUCGCGCCUCAGAGCCUCGCUGCGCCUAGGCUACGUGCCUCGCUUCAGUGUUGAAAAAGCCCCGUCCGGUGAACCUCUGCGCUUUUGCGCCUCAGGCGCGCUUUUUACAACUAUGAAUGUAUUUACACCAAACCAGACCGAACAAGAGAAGCUCGACGACAAAUCUUUCUUCGCAUAUUGCUAUUGGAUGAGAAAAUAAUCGGCCUCAUUAAGGCUCUUUUAAUCCAAGAUAAAUCAUACCAAUCACGAUUAGUGCAAUUCCUAAUGCAAU